AUAAAAGUUAAGGUCAUACGCUAAUUUUAUCGUAUGUAAAGUGAAUUUCACAAAAAACAUUGUUAGAUGCCAAAACUUGGCCUAUUUCAUAAAUUCGAGGACACUAUAUAAUCUAUAGAAAAUGAUCAUUUUGUAAAGUUAAAUAAUACCCAAUACAAUAAAAUUUGUCCAGAAAGUAUAAACAAUAUUUGAAGGAAAUUCCUUAAUAAUUAAGAUGAAACAAUAAAAUUGCUGGGAAACAAUGCUGUUGUUGAGCAUUUACUGACAGAAGUAGCCAAAAAGCCAGUAAUUUGAGUUACCUCCCUUGGCGUAAAAAAUGUAAAAUGAUCCGAAACUUGCAUAAAUUGUAAUUUUCGAAGAAAACAGUAUUUAUUUAGAACAUUUUUCACUUAUCUCGAUUUUUUUUAUCAAGUGUAAACGUGGAAUUAAUUUUUUUUUUAAUUUGAUGGUGAAAAAUAAAUAUUCUGCCCGGACCUUAUCAAAGUUUCGUGGGUAAACAGAUAUGGCUGACAAGUGAUAGAAACGUGAAGUUUUUCUAGAAGUGGUCCUUAUUUUAGGGACUUGUCAACCCUUAAUAAUUGUUCAAAAGACAUAAGUGGAUAUUCAAGAUCUUUUAAAGUUGGAAAUGCGUGUAAUAUUCAACCGAGAUUGACCCCCUGCUGUACAGAUCGGGGUACUUCGAAUUCGACGUAAAAGUUUAACUGUUUAAACUAUCGUGCACGGUGCAGAUGCUUACUAGUAUGCCGAGGUCAUUGCGAUUCUUUGGGGAUUUACUGGAGGCAACCACCACCAAAUGUUGUUAUCUACUACACAAAGGAAAGUGUAAAGCAGACAGAGCAGUAAACUUCAAUGUUUCAAGGGAAAUAUUUGUUCCCGUUGGAAGUGAUUUGGAAAAUAAUUAUAGUCAAAUCACCCCUACUGCAAGCCAAUUAUCAGACUGUAUCAAUCUCAGCUGAGUCCAAGAUAGGAAGAGGCUUUGGAGAGAACACAGAAUUACUACAGACAAAAGACUUGUGAAGUUAUAAGGGGAAUUGCAGAACUCAUAGCUCCACUUCAAUCUAGAUAUGUUGACAGUUAUUUCACAGAAACACUUUGCAGCUGAAAAAGAUAAUCAAAUGAUGACCACUACUUUAACUCUAUGGUUGCAGCAUAUUUCAAUUUUUGAAGUGACAAAUUUUAUUCCUGUUUGUGAACCAAUAUUCAAAAGAAACACUGCUAUGGCAUUAGACAUAAAUUAGAAGAGAGUGGUGGGGUGGCAAAAUAAGAUUCCAUACUGUGAAAUGUAUCAAUUGUUAAUAUACAUGUAUCAAUAUAAAUUCAGUGCCAAUUUUCAUAAUUUCUAGGGGGAAAGUUUGUUUGUAACAAAUGUCAGAAAUAUGUACUAGCUCUUACUUUGCAAACCAUGCUACUAAGUACCAGGCAUUAAGACAUGAUUUGUUUAUUGUCAUUUGUUAAACAGAGACAGAUCCAGUGAUUUGAAAGGGGGGGGGGGUCCAGAAAAAUGAUCUAAAAUCUGCAUUAGGUCAUAUCCAUGAAUUGAUAAAGUAAAUAUGUUUAUUAUUGAUUGCUAGUUACAUGUAACCUUUUAUGCAUCAGUUGAAGAUACUUUAUGAACAUUUUCUGUCACUGGGUAA